rnacentral:rRNA from 1 species
UGGUGGAGUGAUCUGUCUGGUUAAUUCCGAUAACGAACGAGACCUCAGCCUGCUAAAUAGUUACCUGAAUUCUUGAAUUCUGCUGUAACUUCUUAGAGGGACUAUUGGUGUUUAGCCAAUGGAAGUUUGAGGCAAUAACA